UGGGGAUUUUUGGACAAUGGGGGAAACCCUGAUCCAGCCAUCCCGCGUGUGCGAUGAAGGCCUUCGGGUUGUAAAGCACUUUUGGCAGGAAAGAAACGUCAUGGGUUAAUACCCCGUGAAACUGACGGUACCUGCAGAAUAAGCACCGGCUAACUACGUGCCAGCAGCCGCGGUAAUACGUAGGGUGCAAGCGUUAAUCGGAAUUACUGGGCGUAAAGCGUACGCAGGCGGAUCGGAAAGAAAGAUGUGACAUCCCAGAGCUCAACUUUGGAACUUCAUUUUUAACUACCGGGCUAUAGUGUGUCAGAGGGAGGGGGAAUUCCGCGUGUAGCAGUGAAAUGCAUAGAUAUGCGGAGGAACACCGAUGGCGAAGGCAGCCACCUGGGAUAACACUGACGCUCAUGCACGAAAGCGUGGGGAGCAAACAGG
rnacentral:rRNA from 1 species